CGCAAUGGAAGAAAAUUUUGACGGAGCAACGCCGCCUGAAUGAUGAAAGUUUUCGGAUCGUAAAACUCUGUUAGGGAAGAAAAAGUACCGUUUGAAUAGGGCGGUACCUUGACGGUACCUAACCAGAAAGCCACGGCUUACUACGUGCCAGCAGCCGCGGUAAUACGUAGGUGGCAAGCGUUGUCCGGAAUUAUUGGGCGUAAAGCGCGCGCAGGCGGUUUCUUAAGUCUGAUGUGAAAGCCCCCGGCUCAACCGGGGAGGGUCAUUGGAAACUGGGGAACUUGAGUGCAGAAGAGGAGAGUGGAAUUCCACGUGUAGCGGUGAAAUGCGUAGAGAUGUGGAGGAACACCAGUGGCGAAGGCGACUCUCUGGUCUGUAACUGACGCUGAGGCGCGAAAGCGUGGGGAGCGAACAGGAUUAGAUACCCUGGUAGUCCACGCCGUAAACGAUGAGUGCUAAGUGUUAGAGGGUUUCCGCCCUUUAGUGCUGCAGCAAACGCAUUAAGCACUCCGCCUGGGGAGUACGGUCGCAAGACUGAAACUCAAAGGAAUUGGGGGGGGCCCGCACAAGCGGUGGAGCAUGUGGUUUAAUUCGAAGCAACGCGAAGAAGAAUACCAGGUCUUGACAUCCUCUGACAACCCUAGAGAUAGGGCUUCCCCUUCGGGGGCAGAGUGACAGGUGGUGCAUGGUUGUCGUCAGCUCGUGUCGUGAGAUGUUGGGUUAAGUCCCGCAACGAGCGCCCCCCUUGAUCUUAGUUGCCAGCAUUCAGUUGGGCACUCUAAGGUGACUGCCGGUGACAAACCGGAGGAAGGUGGGGAUGACGUCAAAUCAUCAUGCCCCUUAUGACCUGGGCUACACACGUGCUACAAUGGGCAGAACAAAGGGCAGCGAAGCCGCGAGGCUAAGCCAAUCCCACAAAUCUGUUCUCAGUUCGGAUCGCAGUCUGCAACUCGACUGCGUGAAGCUGGAAUCGCUAGUAAUCGCGGAUCAGCAUGCCGCGGUGAAUACGUUCCCGGGCCUUGUACACACCGCCCGUCACACCACGAGAGUUUGUAACACCCGAAGUCGGUGAGGUAACCUUUGGAGCCAGCCGCCGAAGUGACUGCCGGUGACAAACCGGAGGAAGGUGGGGAUGACGUCAAAUCAUCAUGCCCCUUAUGACCUGGGCUACACACGUGCUACAAUGGACAGAACAAAGGGCAGCGAAGCCGCGAGGCUCAGCCAAUCCCACAAAUCUGUUCUCAGUUCGGAUCGCAGUCUGCAACUCGACUGCGUGAAGCUGGAAUCGCUAGUAAUCGCGGAUCAGCAUGCCGCGGUGAAUACGUUCCCGGGCCUUGUACACACCGCCCGUCACACCACGAGAGUUUGUAACACCCGAAGUCG
rnacentral:rRNA from 1 species